rnacentral:rRNA from 1 species
AACCAAAAGGGUUCUUUAAACACACAGGCUUGGUCCCGACCUUAAAAUCAAUCUCAUCUCGACCUACACAUGCAAGUUUCCGCCAACCCGUGAGAACGCCCUCUUACUCUUAAAGAGUCUAGGAGCUGGUAUCAGGCCCUCCGCCCAAAACGCCUAGCCUCGCCACACCCACAAGGGCACCCAGCAGUGACUAACAUUGUACAUAAACGCAAGUUUGACCCAGUCAGAGACUACCACCCACAGGGCCGGCAAAUAUGGUGCCAGCCGCCGCGGCUAGACCACAUGGCCCAAAUUGAUUUUCCUCGGCGUAAAGCGUGAUUAAAGACCUAUAAAAUUAGGGUUAAAUCUGAACUCCUCAGUGAUAUCCCUGUUCAUGAGAAACCCGCAACGAAAGUUACCCUAAUAACAACCUUGAAUUCACGACAGCUAAGACACAAACUGGGAUUAGGUACCCCACUAUGCUUAGCCGUAAACUUUAAUUUACUACACCCCCU